GCUUAGCUCAGCUGGUAGAGCAUGAGACUGUUAAUCUCAGGGCUGUGGGUUCAAUCGUCUUCUUUGGCUAGCA